UAUAUUUGCAACCUCUAAUGAAAAAUUCAUUGGAAUACAUAAAAAUCAUUUAAAUAAUAUUGGCAUG
rfam:OM182 bacterium BACL3 MAG-120619-bin32 contig00685_1_120619-bin32, whole genome shotgun sequence.